UUUUUAUAAGUAAAAUCCUAACCAAUAGGAUCUCUUAAAUAAACAAUCUGAAAAUCAAUUCCAAUUGCUGUAGGAUUCUGCUAACGGAACAAAUCUGAUAGGAGUUUGAUUUGUAGUAGGAUUCUGCGGACGGGCUCUGUCUGUUAGGAUUU